GUGGGGAAUAUUGCACAAUGGGCGAAAGCCUGAUGCAGCGACGCCGCGUGAAUGAUGAAGGCCUUCGGGUCGUAAAAUUCUGUCCUAAGGGAAGAUGAUGACGGUACCUUAGGAGGAAGCACCGGCUAACUACGUGCCAGCAGCCGCGGUAAUACGUAGGGUGCUAGCGUUGUCCGGAAUUACUGGGCGUAAAGGGUUCGUAGGCGGCCUUUUAAGUCAGGUGUUAAAGAUCAUGGCUCAACCAUGGUACGCACUUGAAACUGGAAGGCUUGAGUUAAGGAGAGGAAAGUGGAAUUCCUAGUGUAGCGGUGAAAUGCGUAGAUAUUAGGAGGAAUACCAGUGGCGAAGGCGACUUUCUGGACUUAUACUGACGCUGAGGAACGAAAGCAUGGGUAGCAAACAGGAUUAGAAACCCUAGUAGUCC
rnacentral:rRNA from 1 species